UACGAAGGGGACUAGCGUUGUUCGGAAUUACUGGGCGUAAAGCGCGCGUAGGCGGAUCGCUAAGUCAGGGGUGAAAUCCCAGGGCUCAACCCUGGAACUGCCUUUGAUACUGACGAUCUGGAGAUCGGGAGAGGUUGGUGGAAUUCCGAGUGUAGAGGUGAAAUUCGUAGAUAUUCGGAGGAACUCCAGAAGCGAAGGCGGCCAACUGGCCCGAUACUGACGCUGAGGCGCGAAAGCGUGGGGAGCAAACAGG
rnacentral:rRNA from 1 species